CAAAGAACUUUGAAGAGAGAGUUCAAUAGAACGUGAAAUCACUGGCAUGGAAGCGGAAGGAGCUGAUGUAGCCUUGAGACCAAGUUGUUUUUAGAGUGCUUGAUUGUGCUCGAGAACGAUGGGUGUUUCUUUUGCUACGCCGACAGCGUUGAUGACGUGCUUCGACCCGAUUAGUGUUGCCCAACUGCUUGCAGUUGGUGUCUUGCUACCGGUUAGAUUCAUCGUUGCCAACGUCUAACCCUGCGUGCAGGGUGUCGGUGUCAAAGUCGGCCACCCUUCCGUCCCGUCUUGAAACACGGACCGAGGAGUGUAUCUAGUGCGCGAGUCAAGGGGUGUUAAACCCUACGGCGAAAUGAAAAUGAUAUCAUGGGAUUCCUCUUUGAGGACGCACCAUGGCCCUAUCCCAGUUGCUUGCAACGGGGUGGAGGAAGAGCGUACUGGAUGCGACCCGAAAGAUGGUGAACUAUACCUGAGCAGGACGAAGUCAGAGGAAACUCUGAUGGAAGUCCGUAUCGGUUCUGACGUGCAAAUCGAUCGAUAGACUUGGGUAUAGGGGCGAAAGACUAAUCGAACCAUCU
rnacentral:rRNA from 1 species